rnacentral:rRNA from 1 species
UACGGGGGGGGCAAGCGUUGUUCGGAAUUACUGGGCGUAAAGGGCUCGUAGGCGGCCAAGUAAGUCAGACGUGAAAUCCCUCGGCUUAACCGGGGAACUGCGUCUGAUACUGGAUGGCUUGAGAUUGGGAGAGGGAUGCGGAAUUCCAGGUGUAGCGGUGAAAUGCGUAGAUAUCUGGAGGAACACCGGUGGCGAAGGCGGCAUCCUGGACCAACACUGACGCUGAUGAGCGAAAGCCAGGGGAGCAAACGGG